AAUGAACGCUGGCGGCAGGCCUAAAACAUGCAAGUCGAACGCCCUAGCAAUAGGGAGUGGCGCACGGGUGAGUAACAUGUGGGAAUAUGCCUUUUGGUACGGAACAACGUUUGGAAACGAACGCUAAUACCGUAUGGUCCCUCCGGGGUAAAGAUUUAUCGCCAAAAGAUUAGCCCGCACUAGAUUAGCUAGUUGGUAAGGUAAUGGCUUACCAAGGCGACGAUCUAUAGCUGUUCUGAGAGGAAGAUCAGCCACACUGGGACUGAGACACGGCCCAGACUACUACGGGAGGCAGGAGUUAGGAAUAUUGGACAAUGGGCGCAAGCCUGAUCCAGCCAUGCCGCGUGAGUGAUGAAGGCCUUCGGGUUGUAAAGCUCUUUAGCCGACGAAUAUAAUGACUGUAGUCGGAGAAUAAGCCCCGGCUAACUUCGUGCCAGCCGCCGCCGUAAAAC
rnacentral:rRNA from 1 species